GUCUCUCCUGCCACCAUGGAAGAAGGUGCUUGUUUCCCCUUUGCCUUCCGCCAUGAUUGUAAGUUUCCUGAGGUCUCCCAGUCAUACUGCUGGUUAGGCCUGCGAAACUGCUGGUCUUGAACUCCCAGCCUCAAGCCAUCCUCCCGCCUUGGCCUUUCAAAGUGCUGGAUUACAAGCGUGAGCCACUGUGCACAGCCAAGACGCAAUUUUAAAUCGAGCGGUCAGGAAGCCUCCUGGAGAAAAUAACAUUUGAACAAAGACAUGAAGAAAGUGGAGAAUAUUUGGGGAAAAGCAUUUCAGGCAGAGGAAAGUGCCAGGGCAGAGGCCCCGAGGCAGAAGGAAGCAACAGAAAACAGGGAAGCAAGUGUCCCAGGAGGAGCCCAAUGCCAUGGAAAGAUGGGAAAAGAGGUGGUGAAUGAGAUCCUGGAUCCUUAUGAACUUUAUCUACUCCACUUGUGCAGAUGAUGGAGGAUUUGAGGAGUGUUGGUGAAUGCUCUGUGUGGACUGGACUGGGACCAGACUGGGACUGGAACUCUCCAGGGAGGGCAACUUUGACCGAGACAUCUUUAGGGUCUGCCAAGUCCUCAGCAGAUAUAUUUUGACGUGCCUUGAGAUCCUCAAAUGAGAAGAGCAGUGGGAUUCUUCCCUCUCCAGCCAGGACCACAUCUGUGCUUUUCUGUAAUUGCGGCG
rnacentral:lncRNA from 1 species